CGGCGGACGGGUGAGUAACGCGUGGGUAACCUGCCUCAUACAGGGGGAUAACAGUUAGAAAUGACUGCUAAUACCGAAUAAGCGCACAGUACCGCAUGGUACGGUGUGAAAAACUCCGGUGGUAUGAGAUGGACCCGCGUCUGAUUAGCUAGUUGGUGGGGUAACGGCCCACCAAGGCGACGAUCAGUAGCCGACCUGAGAGGGUGACCGGCCACAUUGGGACUGAGACACGGCCCAG
rnacentral:rRNA from 1 species